UCUGUUGAGGAGGAAAAGUAACCCACGAGGACAUUCUUGAGCAAACCAAAGGGUGGUGCAUGCAGAGCACAGGCAAGUUCUAGAAGCUUUGGUAAUGUGGCAGGUAUGGGUGGGGUGCCAAGGAGGAAGCACAGGCCAGCCACCUGUCCCCCACCCCUGAAGGUUCUUCCUAGGAAAGCAAUCCUUGAGCUGAAUCUUAACAGGGAAGUAGGAGUCUGGGUGACUGUGACCCCGGGGAGGAGGGCUCAGCAUCCCAAGAGGGAAAGUGGGGGGGAAGAAGGGCUCAGGAGCAGAAAUGGGGGGGGUAAGUGUCAGUCAAAGUGGCCCUGUUGAUACCAUUGGGAAGACUCAUCAGGAGACAGGAGGCCGCUGUUAGAAGCUUGGAAUUUAUCCUAUGGCAGAGGGAGCCUGUGCUGGGGCAGGGCGUGGGGAGUCGGGGGACUCCUAUCUGCUCUCCUAGGAGAUCCCUCCACACUCAGUCAAUGGUGGGUUUGAGGAGGCCACAGCCAGCUGCCCAUUUAGGAGGUUCUUACUGCUUGAGCUGUGAGAGGCCAGCCAGAGUAGCCACAGAGGUGUGGGGGAAAGGAGCACUACUUGGUGAAAUCAUUUGGUGAUUUCCUUAGACCCUGAACUUUGAGAAGGGGGUGGAGGGAGUCCUGUGUUUCUAGUUUACAGGCGAGGCUGAGUAAAUGGUUGUGUGUAUCUGAGUGGUCUGGGGUGAAGAGAGAAGUUUAGGCCAUGCAGAAAAGGAAAAUAGGUCUCUGUUCACACAAGUGCUGGGGCUUGACAGUGGCGGGCUUAGGGUGGUUAUUUUGGCUUAUCCUCAGAGGAAAUGAGAUAUUAAGCAGGUUAGCUGUGCGGAAGUAACAUUGGCAGCAUCAGGACCAGGUUGGCAGCUUGGGAGAGUCCAAGAGUAAGAUAGGGAAGUAACUGUCAGGGAGGUAGGGACAGAGCCCAGGGAGGUGGCCAGAGGCUCAAUCGGGAGGCUCAAUCAGCACCAAGGUGUCAAAGGCUGCUCAUGAGAGAAGGGAAGGAAAGUCUUCAUUGACCUUCACACUUAGGAGCAAUUGGUGACUGGCAGGGACAAUUUGCUCUGUGUGUAAGUGGGUGAGUAGGGAACAGAAGCCAAAGUGUUAGGAUUCAAGACUGAGUGGCUGGUAGGAAGACAUUUCAAAAGCUGGGUAGACAGGAAGUCCAGCUCCUGAACUACAGAGGCAGGGAGGGCUGAGGACUUGGAGCUGGAUGGAAUUUUAAGGUGGCCUAAGGGGUCCAGAAUUUAGGACAGUGAUGGUGGUGUAGGUAUCAAUAGUUUAACUUGGCCUCUGAGUCCUCUCAGAGGUUAAAUUCUCAGGGUUUUCUAGAACCACCAGGAAUUUCCUCCUCUGCUGCCUUUUGAUGGUACCUAGCUGUCUAGGCUGGGGACAGAGUCACCCGAGGAGGUGGCUCCAGAGAUCCCACCAAUGACUUGGCUUAAAUUUGUCAUAAAAUGCACACGGUAGCACAGGGACCAUUUUAUCUAGAGUCCAUAGUUCUGUGGCAUUAGGUACAUUGUGUGGAAGUCACACAGUCCCAGCCCUGCUUCUGCAGAAGCUAUGACGCUGGGAGGCAGCCGGCACCAAGUAUGGACUAAGUCCGCAGCAGUGACAUGAGUGUCUCAUUUUAGGCUUGGGACUGUCUGCUAUGGGCCACAGUGGGGGUGAUGUGCUUGAAUUGGGGGUGUUGGGAGCCCGUGAGGCUUCAGAGUAAUACUUACUAACUGAUCUUGGGGCUCAUUAGGAAAUUCAGUGCUUAGAAGGGGGAGGUGACAUUUCUUUUGUCUUCUGUGUGGCUCAAACUGUGCCUAGGACCUGUCCAUAGCUGGACCAUACAGGAGGGCAGCCAAGACAGAAGGUGCGGGUGCCAGUGAACACAUCCUGUGAAGAAUGGUUGGGCUGGCUGGGGUCGAUUGGCGAAGAGCAGACUCAAAGAAGGUGAUUCUGAUCAGGAAUCUUGAAAGAUCUGCCAUAGAAUGGAGGGAGCAGACAGAUGUAGGAGUGUUCAGACUUGCUUCCCUGAGUUUGGGGGGAUUACCGCCCUCACUUCCUGGCACACAUGGCCAGAUGUCCCAUCCUCCAGGCUCAGCUUUGCUCCACCCACUACCUCCUCCUUUCCCAGGUAGUCUUCCCCAAUCCUUUAGUCAACAGGAAGCAUUGUUUUGCCUUUAACCAAAUACUUCCCAGAAUGUUUAUUUGUGUGCUAGCUGUGUGACUUUGAGCAAGUCCUUUAACCUCUGUGAGUGGGGAUAAGGGACCCAUAAACAUUUUUUAUAUUUUUCUGAAUAUCAUGGAGCAGAGGGGUGGGGGAGAUUGUUUUCUGCUUUUUUUUUUCUGUCUCUUGGACUCAGGAAAAAAUGGGAUGGCAGCUGUACCCACUUUCCAGGACAGUGCCUGUCCCCUGUAGGUGCUCAGAGAUGGUAGAUGCGAUCAGCUCUUAUUAAUGUCUUCACAUUAAUGCAAAUGUGUUUCUCUUGGAGGCUGCGAACUCCACGUGGUGAUGAUGUCUGUGUGUGUCCCCCCUGUCUCUCACAUGGACCGGUGUAGUGGACGGUGACAGCUAGUGACUCUUACCUCUCUUCCCUGAUUUCCAUCGUUUCACUUCUGACAUCCUCUUCCUUUGGGAAAUGUCUUUUUGUUGUCACACAUUUGCAGUGGGUUGUCAGUUAAAGUACCAGUUCCUUUCAUCCAUCCCUGCUCUACGGCCAUCAGGUAGACAGACAUGUGACUCAGGUGGCACCAACCAUAGAUGCCCUCCAUCUUCCAGCCACAGUGAUUGGUCCAAGGUGUGGGCAUAGUACUCCUUCCUGGUAUGUACGUGUUCAUGAUGGGAGGAAGAAUGUUACUUCUUGUUUAGAUGCAUGCUAGAUGCUGUGAGCAUCUUUCCUACCCAGUGUAGGAAGCCAAAUAGAGCAAGAGAGAGUGGUGUUGCCAGCACUGAGUCCCAGCUAUGGUCCUGGUGACCUUGGCUCCUGUCCCUCUUCUUUCAUUGCUGCAAGUGUGGCAUCUUACCCUCCUACAACAUUUCUCCUAUUAUUCGUUCCUCAUAGUGGGUUGUCCGAAGUUCCUGAGGUCCAAGGGUUAGGAGCAGUUGCCUAUGGCCAUGGAGGGAAGCAUGAGAGCUUGGGAAGUUAUUGUAUCAGGCCGCCUUGGGUUUGGGUCUAGGCAUUCCAUUUGCUAGCUGUGUGAUCUGGGUUGUUUGAGUUUCUUGGUCUAUAAAAUGGGCAAAGUGGGCAUGGGGAGAGGGCUCAGUGUCACAGAAGCAUGAGGACCUGAAAGCCAGGCAUGGCGGCUCGUGUUUGCAAUCCCAACACUGGGGUGGUGGAGAUAGGCCCACGGGGCAGCCAGCUUGGUGUAACUGGUGACUGCCAGGCCAGUGAGACAUCCUGCCUCUAGGGAGGUGGAUGGCAUUCCACAUGUCCACGUUUCCAUUAACCAUGUGACCAAAUCACAGUUCCCAAGCCCCAGUUUCCCUCUUUGUCAAUAGUUUCCUGAUGAUUGGCCAUGAGGACUAAGUAAAACAAUCCAUGUAUAGUUAGUACUCAGCACAGCACUUAGCAGGCAUUCAGUAAAUAUUAGUUGUAUUGGGAUCCGGGGAAUUUUCCUGAAAACAAUGGUUGGAAUGAAAGGUUCACACCAGACUUAGUGGGAAAUGUUUAGAGAGAGGCACAUCUGAGUCUUCAGAAGAAAACCACUUUAGGCGGGCAGGGUCCCAUCUAACUCUCUUUGGCUGGACAACAAUGAGGCUCAUCUUGGGAAAUGCACAUCCCAGGACAUCCCCACCAUUUCCUACCCUUCAUCGUCUCCCCAACAAGCUUCUCAAGAGUUCCCACCCACCGCCCUGGCUCUGCGCUCCCACUUGCUCCUGACUCUGUUGACCCUUCUGCUGCACUGCAGAACUGGAAUCAACCUCACCCAGCAGAACCUAGUUCUUGUCAAGACCAGCAGGUGCUUUUCUUCCUCUGUCCAAGGUGAUGGCGUUGUGGUUCCUGAGCCUGGGGACUCUGCUUGCUCCCCGAGCCUUGUCCUCUGUGGGAGAGGCACGGGUCUGCCUUCCUGAUCUUAUCCUGCCUCUCUGCUGCUCCAUUCAUCCUAUUUCUCCAGUGCCCAAAGUUGGUGGUUUUUAGAUUCUCACCGAGUCCUCUUCUCACACCACUCAUCUUUCUCAGGGCUGGAACAUCCAUGCCUCCUAAGCCCUUAACUGCAUUUUCUUUUCUGGUUUUUUUGAGACAGAAUUUCUCUGUGUAGCCAUGGCUGUCCUGGAACUUUCUAUAUAGGCCAGGUUGGCCUUGAGCUCACAGAGAUCCUCCUUCCUCUGCCUCCCAAGUGCUGGGAUUAAAGGCAUGUGCCACCAUGCCAGGAUCUUGAUUGCCUUUUCAAUCUCUCAAGGAGGCUGUCUCUGGACAUUUCCAUGGUGAUGACUUGCAGCUACUUCCAACCCAAUGUGCCCAUGUCUGAACCCACUAUCUUUCUCCUAGAUAUAUCCCUUUCUGUCUUACCAUCUCAGAGAAUGGCUACCCCUUCACGAGCACCACAAACUUAAGGUGUUUCUGGUCUUCACUUUCUCAUAUCUAUGGAGUCACUCAAUCCUGUUCCUUCUACCCUACUGAUUGUAGUUACUGCAACUACUCGGCAUCAGAGACUGCUUUCAUCUUCUCUCUGGGGAUGGCAGACCUGGGCUUGUGUCCAUCAGUCCCUACAUGAGCCCAUAACCUCCUGCUGGAUCUUCCCAUUUUUCAGAUUUACCCUGAGGAGCCUCCCUCGUUCUCAUCAAGACCCCCCAACCCUCAUGUUGGAGUCAGCUAACUUUCUUUCAUAAUUACCUUCCUUUUCCUCCUUCUUUCCCUCCCCUGGGAGUCUCAUAUAUUCCAGGCUAUCCUCAAACUCCCCACGUAGCCAACAAUGACCUUAAAAGUGUGAUCCUUCUGCUUUUACCUCCUUAUUCCUGGGAUCAUAGGGGAGUGCCACCAUCCCUGGGGUGGACCCGGGGCUCAUACAUGUUAGGCAAGCAAUGCACUUGAUGAGUUACAUUCUCCUGGUGCCAGCUUUCUGGCUUGCCCAUUUAUAAUUACCUCAGGGCUUUCCUGCCCAUACAAGGUAAGUUCAUCUCCUUAGUGUGGUGUCAAUGUCUUUUUGGAGUUUGAUUUUUUUUUUUUUUUUUUAAAGACAAGAUCUCAUGUGUAUCCCUGGUCUGGAACUUACUAUGUGGACCAGGCUGACAUCAAACUCACAGAGAUCUGCCUGCUUCUGUCUCCUUUGUGUUGGUAUUAAGAGGUAUGCUACUAUGGUCUGCAGGAGCUUGCCCUUGGCUGGCAUGCCAGUCUUGUUGCCCUUUAUCACUCUUUGCUCCGUGCUCCUGAGGAAUGAGCUACUUGAAGCCUCUCCCUGUUCACUCUCUGCCUGAAAAACUGCCCUCUUCAGGUCAAACCCCAGGCCCUCUUGGAGCUACAAGAACAGUGUUUGUCACAUGCUGGCACGGCAAAUCCACUUUGUCGACAAGACAAUAAGCUGCUGAGAGCAGGACUGUGCUUGCCCGUUCCCCCAAAGGCCAGCAGAAUUGGCAGAUGCAUUGAACAAGUUGCCCCAUGAGCCAAGGCCUUCAGUUCAAUCUUCAAUUGAACAUUCUGUUGCUGUGGGUCAAAGUCUACAAUUGAAAAUUCUGUUGCUGUGAGUCAAAUCUUUGUUAGAAAAAAAAUUCAGAAUUUUCCUGGAAAUGUGGCUUUAUCUUCUGGUUUAUAAAAAGUCACAGAGAAAGUGGCUGCUGCUAUGCCUAGAAGUUCAGCUUCUAGGUAUAUGGUGGUGACCUGAUACUUCUUUGUUUUAUUUUCUCUUUUGCUUUUUUUGUUUGUUUGUUUGAGACAGGAUACUAUGUAGCUCGGCCUGGUCUGGAACUUGAUAUAUAGAUCAGGCUGGUCAGUCUCAAUCUCACAGAGUGCUGGGAUUAAAGGUGUGCACCACCUGCUGUUUCUUGGUCAAGUAUACCAGCAUUACUCUGGAGGUCCAGGCCAUUGCCAAUAUGAGUCUUGUUUUAGCCACCGUGCCCCAGAGAGGGAAAUACAAGGUCUGAGUAUUAGAGUUGCCAUUCAUCAACCAGUUAGUGAGCAUUUGGACCUUGCUGGUGAGUGUUCUGCCCCAGCUUUGCGGCCUGCUUUUUGAAUAGUUCAGCCAGGUUCUGCCACUUUCUCCAAAACACCCAGAUUAGCUGUAGUGAUCCCAACUUCUUUUUCAAGUCACCCUCUUGGUGUCUGUGCCCGAGCCUCAAAUGCUCCUGGAGGACUUUUUCUCAGAGUUCACGGUCAUGUGUUAGAUUCAUGUUUGGCUGAAUUACGUGGCAUGAGGAACUGGGAAGUCUAUGCCUUCAUUCUCUUCACUGAGUAUUUCACAACACUUUCCUGUCAACUGUGACAACAUUUUGAUUUUUGAUUUUAAUAUGUUUACGUACAAAUAUCUGGAGACAACUUUUUCUAUCCAAUAUAUCUGAGAGACAAAUUGCUCAAUUGAUCUGAGUUGGCUAUUGUCAGUUUCAAGGUAUGUUUUGUGAAUAUUGAAUGAACUGCUAACCCAUUUGUUUUAAAUCUUUAUGAAACAAUAUAUUUUUGAGAUGAACUAGGAUGUAAAAAGCCAGAAGGCAGGAGCAUGGUGCAUAGCUCCGGGGGACCUCUCCUCCCUGCCCUGUAAUUCCUAUCCUAUCCCAGGGGAACCCUGUGCUGAGCCUUUCCUCACUGCUGUGCCUCAGCCUCAUCUGAGAAUGGGAUGUUCAGAUACUCCAGGAAGAUGGUAUUCGGUGGCUCACAGCCACGCACACCGCCCCAUCAGUCUGCCAACAGCCCUGGGAGCUGGGUGGUUGUCAUCCCUGCUCCCUUCUGGGCCAUCUUCUCCUGCUUUAUUUCCUGCCUCUACUCUUCUGUCACUUAAAUCUCCCUCUCUGUCUGUCUGUUUCUCAGCCUGGCUCUUGUCCACCUGCAUUUGAACCUGCUCUCCAGACUCUUCCAUCUUAGAGCUGAGGCCUCACCGCCUCUCCUGGGGCUCUUGGCUUCCUGCAUAGUCAGACUUGCCCAGGAGUCCUUGCGUCUCUGCCUCUCCUGCCCCUGCUAUACGCAUCCCUCUUCCUUCAGCAAUCUCCACUCACCUCCACCACUUACCUGAAAAACCUUCAAAGCUAAGGUCACCUUGACCUCCAAGAUGCUCCAUCCACAGGACACAUUUGAGCCCACGUUUGACUUUUCUUCCUGCUGCAUUUGGACAAUCAGCCACGCAGCUCUUGUCAUCCAUCUCCUUUCCCACUGCUGGAGGACACCUGGACCUACCGGGUUUCUGCUGGCUCCAGGCUCACAGCUAAUGGGCUCUCCACCUGCUCGUCUUUGAACUCUAGGGUUGCUUAGGGCUCAGCUCUGCAUCUUUUUCUCUCCACCUUUCUCUUUCCCCUCCACACCCUGUUCUCUGGUGAUAGCAGAUCCCACUAGUGUGGCUCACUCCAAAUCCAGAUCUCUAGCCUUGGCUCUUCUCAGCUUCAUGUGGCUUAGCUGUUGUAAUGAAGGACACUGCCUUCCCUGCUGGACUGACAGAUACUGACUGAUAAAGUUCAGGACAGUUAAGCAACUUGCUUGAGGUCACAGAGCUCAUUUGUAGCAGGCUUCAUUUCAAAUACCUUUAAUUUUGAUGCCUCUCUUAACACAUAUACAUGUGUCUUUAUUAACAGUGAUCACGCCUUAUUGUAGCUGGAUGUUCAAUGAUGCAGCUUCCCUGCUAAGCCAUACUCUGUUAAGCAAGGGCCAUACUGUCUUACUCAUUCUUUUGGUCCCACGUUGGAGUUCAGCAUUGGAUGGGGAUGGAGGACUAUGUGUGUUGAUUGACUUUUGGUUAACAAGGCUACCAACUUCUUUUCUAAAUCUAAUUUCCUACCAGGCACCAAUAGACUUCCUUAGCUCAGCUAUGGAUUAUGUCUCCUUUUAAUUUUCAUUCCACCGUAAGUCUUAGGAAGAAUUAUACUAAUAACGAAUAAGCUGGGCGGUGGUGGCACACACCUUUAAUACCAGCACUUGGGAGGCAGAGGCAGGUGGCUCUCUUGAGGUCAAUGCCAGCCUGGUCUACAGAUCGAGUUCUAAGACAGCCAAGGCUAUACAAGAAUCCUGUCUUGAAAAGCCAAAAACAAAACAACAACAAUAAAAAAAAAGCAAGAACAAAAAAAUAUACAAGAGGCUAGAAAUGAUGGUUGGCUCUGCAACGUGCUCAGUGCUCCUACCCACUCCUACCCAAUUCUGCCUUGUGGUCCUUCAGUCGCUCUUGCUGUGGCCACUUUCCCACUGCGGGAUCCUGGCUAGGGGCACCCCAACCCCACUCUUUAAGAAAUCCUCCUUUAGGGAAGUGGAGAUGUUCCCCAGUUGGUAGAGUGUUUUCCUGGUGUGGGAGAAGCUGGGGGUGGAAUCCCCAGCAUCUCAUAAACCCAGUGUGAGGCGACCACCAGUAAUCAGGGCUCUGAAAAGGGAGAGGCCAGAGGAUUAGAAGUUCAAGACCAUCCUUCGCUGCAUAGCCAGCUUUAUGCCAAGUUGGGCUACAUGAGACUCCGCCUCCACCACAACAAAAAGAUCUCCCACUCAAACCAUAGUUGCGUGUCUAGGAAAUGGUCCCAAGGGGGUUGAAGUCUUAGCCGUGAUGGGGAAACAGGGCAAGUGAGAGUUCAGAGUGAUAACUGAGGUCUGCAUUAUUCCAGUGCCCGCAGAGCCUGAUGGUACUUUUGCACUUCCCUAGAGAGCUUGGCCGCCUGGUCAUUUAUACCUUCUGGUUGAGAAGGGGAAGAACAGGGGCUUCAGGCUAGCUUGCUGGGGAGCCAGGGUUUGGGUGGAUGAAUUCAAAGGCGGAAGGUGUGAGACUGAAGAUGAACUCCGGGAGGAAGGGCAGGAGCCUCUGGAUGGAACAGCAGGUUCUUGUCAAACACACAAUUUAAUUCUGAGGCUGUAGUCCUUGUGCCUGGGAGAUUUUCUAGCUUGCAAUAGUGUCAUUUACAGAUGGAUUUGCAGCGGUGAAUUACGAGUUUGUAAGCAACAGCUUCUCUGACGCCUCGAAGAAAAAAAGCUUAUCCCUCUGCAAAUUAUAAAUUCAUAACUAACAGUGUUAUCCAACUGAAUGCAAAACAAAUUCAUUACUGACUACAUUAUUCCAUUGAACAUCAAGUGAAUGAACCAGGCAGGGGUUGUGGGAUGGGGGAUGUGACAGGAGAUGGGAACCAAAUAGUCCCCUCCUGCCUUCCUAUUCUUUGUAUCCUUUUGGGAAUGUUUCAAGGUAAGCCAGAGUGGAGGUCCUGGGGCGAUGAUGUGUCCCAUCAGUGACCACCACUACAACAUUUACACCUCUUUUCUUUGAUGAUAAUCCAAUCACUUCAGUGUUAGCUUAUGAUGCUCUGGUGGGAACUCACAUGUGGAAGUCCUGAGUGCAAGACCUCAAAGGGGCAUUGCUCCUAGAGUCGUCCAUACCGAGAGGCAUGGGGCUGCCAUGCCAAGAAGAGAGGUCAGAAGCCGGGUCUAUGGUUAAGUAUCAGAGUGGAGACAUUCCUUGUGUCUUUCUAGAACAUUCCUCUCAGGGAUCAGGCUUCAGGGUACGGAGACAUCUAUCUGGGUGCUUCUGGGUGGUGGGAACAAAGGAAGUGCCCACAAUAUGUAGAUUUCAGGGUCUGUGGGAGAGGGAAAAACAUGCUUUAUAACCCAGAUUCUGUAUUCUGAUGCUGUGAUCAAGGUCCAAUUAGUAGACCCUGGAUUUUACCUUUUGUGUUAUGAUUAUUUUAGGAAAUAAGAAAAUACAAGUAAAACUAACAUAUAUUAUAAAUAUAUAAAACGAAUAUAGAUGUAAUAUAUAUUAUAUAUAUACCACCCAUAAUUUUCUCCAUUGGAAAGAGCCAGCUUUAGGGUGGAUUAAACCUGAAACUCUACCUCAGUUCCCACAGGAGAAUCAUUCAUUCAGGAACUUGAGGCUGGGCAUUUAGCUUGGUAGAGUUGCUUGCUCAGCGUGCAUGAAGUCCAGAGCCUGAUGGUACGUGCUUAUGACCCUAACACUCAGGGGAUGAAGGCAGGAGGAUCAGAAAUUCAAAAUCAUUCUCAGCUACAGGGAGAGAAGGCCAGCUGUACCCUGUCUCAAAAAAGGGAAAAAAAGAAAGAAAGAAAAACUGAGCAUUUGAUAGCCCUAAAAUUUGAUGUGGGGAAAGAGAUAGUUACACAAUUAGCUUUUUCUUUUUCUUUUUUUUUUUUCUUUUUGAGGGAGGGUCUCACUGUGUAGCCCAGACUGGCCUUCAUGGAGCUUGCUAUAUAGAUCAGGCUGGUUUUAAAAUCACAAAGGUCUACCUGCCUCUGCCUCCUGAGUGGGAUUAGAGGUGUGAGCCGCCACUGCUGGGCCACAAUCAACUUUUGAGAAAGAGCAGGCAUCCCAGUACCUGGAAGCUUCUCUGUACUCCCCAGCCUAGCGGGAGUUUCCUGGCAUCUGUCUCCGCCUUGGUUUCUCCGCUUCUCUCUUCUCCGAUGGUGUUGCCUCUCUCUGCCAGCUUCCUCAGGAGCAAAGAGAAGUCCCUCUCAUCCCAUGCUUAGAGUUCUGGUACUGGCAUAUGUCUAAACAGUUGCCCCAAGAAUUAUUUUUUUUUUCACCAAAGAGUUUCCUGUUGAAGCAGAAAUCUUAAUGCCAACUCUUAAGAUAAAAUAUUUUAACCUUGCCAGGUGGCAAUGGCACAUGCCUUUAAUCCCAGCACUCGGGAGGUAGAGCCAGGUAGAUCUCUGUGAGUUCGAGUCUACAGAGCAAGAUCCAGGACAGGCACCAAAACUACACAGAGAGACGCUGUCUCGAAAAACCAAAAAAAAAAAAAAAUUUUUUUUAACCUUGUUUUGUGAGUGUAUUUGUAUUUUUAGGAACAGAUGUUCUACACAGGAAAUGUACCUUUAUUCAUUAGUACUAUAGAGUCAGCCUAUUUUUAUGUCAAUAGACAGGCCUUUGUUUUCUGUUUUAAUGGCUGCAUAUUAAUCCAUAUGGUUUCUUUAAACUUUUGUUGCUAUGCAUUUAGGCUGUUUCCAAUUAUUGCUAUUGUAACACCCACAUAUCAUCUUUGCACAUUUAUCUAAUUAUUUCCUCAGGGUACGUUCUUAGAAGUACAGUUUCUGAGAAUGCACUUUCUGGAGGCUUUGCUAUAGUGUUACUUUUUUCCAAAAGUCCAUGGCAACUUACACCCUCAUCAGCAGCUUCUACCAUAGGCACUCUAGCUUUGUCUCAGCCAUGUCUCUGAGGUUUUCAGAAAGAGCACUAAUGACCAUUGUGGUAGAACAGUGGCAAGUGCUAAGAGCUGCCCUAAGGAUGCAGGGUCCCAGGAAGCAGGAAUGGGAGACCCAGCUGCUCUUCCUAGACGAGGUUCUUGCAUGGUGUCCAUGAGAGGGUUGGAACUAGACGGACCAACUUUAUGAGGGAAGACCGUUUUCUUUCACAUGUUGGGGGCAGGUGUGAGUAAGGGGCAUUGAUAGUGAUGACGUGUGAUCUUGCUGUUGUGACAUUCACGAUGGUGAGAAUGGUGGUAACUGUGGCAGAUGGGAACAGGUGACCGUGGUGGAGAUCACAAGCACAAUGUCGUUGAUAGUGAUGGUGGUGGUGUUGACCAUGAUCGAGGUCACGGAGGUCAAGUGGUGACGUGGUAAAGGUAAAUGUGGCAUUGCUAAAGGAGAGGAGGUAGUGGUCCCGAUAGGACAGCAGUUACGGGGUAGCCAUGUUGGUGAGUGUAAAUUAUGGAGAAGUUGCAGUUGUUCGUGGCGACAGAGGUGGUAGACAUGGUAGCAGCAGAGACGGCGGUCUUGGCACGGCAGUGUGCCAUCGACUGUGGUGUGAGAUAUAGUGAAAAGCAAGAUGUAGAAAGCAUUGUGCCUGCCUUGACAUCGUGGCAGUGAGAAAGGGGUAAGGAGAUGGGUGUCACACAGCGGUCUUCAGGAGACUUCCUGUGGAAGUAUAAAAGUGGCUAUGACCAGGGCUUACGCAUGGUCCAGACUCUGGCCUCCUCUCUCUUCCCCUGCUCCUGCCUCUCAGCAGUUCCUGAGUCUCUUCACUUAAUAACAUUGCCUGGGAAGAGCCUUUCUCUGAAUCCCCAGGUACGGCAGGAAGCCUGCUGUGCGUGUGCACAAAGCCGCAGGACUCUCUCCUCAGGCAAGGACGUCUGGAAAACUUCAGGCUAUGGAAGGCACGUGUCUGAGAGGCCAACAUCCUAGGCAUCAAGGGGUUACUCUGUGCCUGGAGAUGGAGCUCAGCCUCUCCUCUCAGACUGCCCACUGCUCCCGUGCAGAAGCCACUGGAGCCAAGUGGGGCUUCAUUUUGGGGUGGGGAGAGGCUUUUCCCCCCUCCCAUUUUAAUGGUGCUAGUGACCUCAGAAGGUUUCCAUGGUGACAAGACCAAGAAUCCAGGGGGACUUGGUGAAGUAGGUCAAAUAACCGCCCUCAGAGCAUUAUCCUACACACUGGGGUUGGGGAGGACUCUGUAAUCGUGGGGCUUGAGGGAAAAAGAUAGGGCUGAGAGCAUGCAAGGCUAGGCCUCAAAGAGGGGCCUGCAGGAGAGUCCUGUGCCCACCUUUGUUACUGUGCCCAUCUGAUACUCUCAGAAGGCUCCCUGUGGUGGCAUCAUGGAGCUGAGUGUGGUCCCUCCUAGGGAGAGCUGCAUGCCACAGGACACCUACAGAGGGUAAUUCCCAAGAGGAAGAAACAUGAGUGGUUGGUUCUUAGGCAAGAAGACAAGGCUAGCAGGAAACAGCAGAGAAGGGGUGUGAAGGACAAGGAGGUUGGCCUUUGGUAGGGUCGGGAUUGGCUACCAUGGGCUGGGUUUUCUAAAGAACAGCUUGGGAACACGAGCAGUGGAAUCCCUGUGACCAGGUUUGAUCCAGAUGUGCACACCGCCUGCUCCCUGAGGUUGUGGGUUACCUGGGACAUGAUAAGCAACCUCCUGGCAGUGCUCACUGUGGUCUAGCCUUUUCUUCUUUCCUUCUUCCCUUCUCCAGACCACUCAGUGGUCAUGGCCUCCUGAAGGCUUCUGAAGCCCUCUACUGCUCCUCAGUGAUUUCUAGCUUUCCGGCUGAGAUGGCUUAGGCUGUGGACUCUCUCUGAGGGUAAGGAAUAGAAGCCAGGAGUUGACAGCUCGUGAGGGGAGCCAUGUGUGCGUGUGUUAGGGCAUGCUCUGCACGCUGCAGGUGAGUUCAGGUCUGCAGACUUCACUCUCUAAGUCGGGCCCGAAGAAUUGGACAGCCCUGAUGACGGAAGCAUGCUGCCCGAUCAGGGUCCUCUGCCAAGCCCUGGAUUAAGAAGGCCAGGAGUGGGUGUCUGUCAUCAGAGAAGCCUGGAUGUUGGCUGAAUGGGUCUCUUUACAGAGGAAAAGUCCUCUUCGGAAAAUCUGCCUCAGUGAAUCCAGGGAGCCAGUCCUGGAUUCAUGGCUGACCCAUGAAUGUUCCAAGAAGCUCUUUAACUAGAACCUCAGUUACUGGGUCUGAGCCAUGCAGGGAAUGACAGAUCCCCAUCAUAGCCUAUAGCCCAGAGCCCCCCCGUGGGUAUGAACUGUCCCUCCGUGAUUCCAGGCUCAGUGGACUGUUUGUUACUGCUGCCCACGUCUCAAGGCCUGAGCUGUUGUUUGCCGGGGCUGCGAGGAAGCAGGCCUGGGUCCUCCCCUCAGGACAGCUCCAGGCCAGGCCAGGCCAAGGAAGAUGGUCCGAGACACCCUCUUCCUUCCCAUCCCCAGCUCUUUCUCCCCCUUUCUUUUCUUUCUUUUUGGAUUUUAGACAAAGUCAUGUGUAGCCCAGGCUAGCCUCCAACUCACGGUGUAACUGAGGAUGGCCCUGAACUUCUGGUCCUCCUGCCUCUAUCAUCUGAGCAGUGGGGUUACAAGUCUGUGUCACCAUGGUCCAUCGUGUGUCUACAUGUGUGCAGCUACAUGUGAAGGUCAGAGGAUAAUCUUUGGUGGUGUUCCCCAGGUGCCAUCUACCUUUCUCUUCCUUGAAACAGGAUCUCUUCACUAAGUGGAACCAUUAAGUAGGCUAGGUCAGCGGACUAGUGAGACCCAGGGACCUGGCUAUUCUCCACUGCUGGGAUUAUAAGCAUAUGGGCCACCACCACAGUGCUCAAUCUCUCUCUCUGUCUCUCUGUCUCUGUCUCUCUGUCUCUGUCUCUCUGUCUCUCUGUCUCUGUCUCUCUGUCUCUCUCUGUCUCUCUGUCUCUCUGUCUCUGUCUCUCUGUCUCUGUCUCUCUGUCUCUCUGUCUCUGUCUCUCUGUCUCUCUGUCUCUGUCUCUCUGUCUCUCUCUGUCUCUCUGUCUCUGUCUCUCUGUCUCUCUCUGUCUCUGUCUCUGUCUCUCUUUCUCUCUCUCUCAGUACUGGGUCUAGGAAUCAAAUUCAUGUCCUCAUACUUAAAAGGCAAGCACCUCACUGACUAAACUAUCUCUUCAGCCCACAUGCCAGUUUUACAGGGGCUUGGGGUUCAAACCCAGGGUUUUAUGAUGUUAGGCAAGUACCUUAUAAACUGAGCCAUGACCUUGUUCUUCCUGUUUUUCUUUUGGUUCUGGGAUUAACACACAUAGCCUUGUUUAUUCUAAAACCAGGCUCUGCCACUGAGCCAUACCUCAACCUCCACCACUGAGCCGUACCCUAGCCUCCACCACUGAGCCGUACCCCAUCCUCCACCACUGAGCCGUACCCCAGCCUCUGCCACUAAACCAUACAUACCCCAGCGUCCACCACUGAACCAUACAUAGCCCAGCAUCUACCACUGAGCUGUACUCUAGCCCCUAGCAUUGAGCUGUACACCAGCCCCCACCACCAAGCCGUACCUCAGCCCCCAGCACCAAGCUGUACCCCAGCCUCCACCACUGAGUUGUACUCCAGCCCCAAAGGCUUAUUCUUGAGCCUUGAAUGCCCUUUAGUCUCCAUUCAUUCUGGAAUCUCUUUUUUCUCUGUCUUAACGUUUUCCAACUGAGUUUUGCUAGUGUAUCAUUUUGACACUGGCCAUCUUCCUGACCUCUUCCCUACUCUGUUAUUAGUUUUUCAGUGGAUUCUCUGGAGUUUUCUGAAUAAACAAUCCUAUCAUGUACAAAUAAUGAUAGCAAUUCCUCUUUCUUUUCAAAUGUUACACUUCUUUUUCUCUUUUAAUGUAAUAAUGUAUUAGCUUAAACUUCCAGAACAAUAUAACAUAAUUAUGGUAAUAGCAGGCUUCCUUGUCCCACUGUGACUUAAAUAUGAAGGCCCCCCGAUAGUGUUUUAUUACUAAGAAUGAUGCUGAUGUUGGCUGCAGAUGUAUUUUUUUUUCAUUGUGUUGAGGAAAUUUUUAUUUGUGUUUUACUGAGUUUUAGCAGAGUGGCCAGUUCUAUUAAAUUCAUUUCUGGUGUCUGUUAAGAUGAUCACAUCAUCUUUCCCUUUCUGAUAACUGAUGUGAUUAAUUACAUGGACCUGUUUUCUGAUAGGUCUUUCUCAUCAUUUCUGACACAAUUUCUGUGCAAUGGAGAGAAGAUGUGUUGAUCCUGGAUCAGGACAGGGAAUUCAGGUGGGAUCUGUACUAUGCCUGAGUCCCUGGGGCUGCACUGUUCCUGGUUCCAGAGAGGAAUCUCAGGAAAGCACCCUGUGAUACCCGAGGCACUGAACAGGCUCAGGAGGGCCGGAUGGGAGAAUUAGUCCCAGAGUGAUCUUUCUAAAGUCCCACCAGGCCAGGCAACUUCCUUCUGUGGCUCUCUGCUGCCUUUAGCAGAAGACCCAAGCUCUUGGCCAUUGCCUAGACCCUUUACAGCCGGCCUUUUUACUCAUCUCCCAGGCAGCAUCUGCCCGCUAAGUGUUCAGAACUCCUGGCAGGUGGCACACCCGAGGAGCCUCCUCUGGAGGCUGACGCUUUCACAUAGAAGCUUCCCUGCUGGAAUACCCUCCUUCCUCCCCAGGAAGGACCCACUGUCACUGCGAGGAGGGGGCUCCCCAACCUAGAGGCUCUAAGUCCCCGUGCCAAAGGCCUCUUUGGCACUUCCCUGGGUAGGGUGGGCCCUGUAUUUCAGGAACCCCAGGGUGCUGAGGAUCAGUCUGAUCCCUCAGUCCUCUCUGAGCUCAGAGCCAUCUCCAGGACAAAUGCUCAGGCAGCCUCAAGUGGAACACAUUGUUUCCAAUAGUGCUCACAUCCUGCUUGCAUCCCCUACACAGGGCAGUGACUGACCACAAUCUCUGUCUCGGGGCUCCAGCAGCAGAGGAUCCUGGGAGGCCUGAAGCCCUGGCACGCAGCUGCAGCUCCCUGGAGCCUCUUUAGAAAACGCAGCCGGCCUUGUUUCCUCCUCAUAAACAGCGACUGAGCACAGCAUCAGGCCCCAGGGGAGACUGUUCCCCCAAAGCUGCUGCCAUUGGAGAUGCAGGGAGGGGGGGGGGCAAGUGGGCCCAGGAGGAACCAGAUGAUUCUGGAUCAUGUCGGGAGGAGCAGGAGGGGGGAUAAUGGCUGUGACUGAAUGCAGUACAUUCUAGAGGUUGGUGUCUGAUCCACUCUGUUUCCUUUCUUUGUCUCUGUCCAGUCUCAGGCUAGUGUCCUGCCACCUCCUUCCAGGGUCUUGUCACCUGGACAGUCACUUUGCUGUCUUUGCCGUCACCCAGCAGCUAGCUGGAGCAUGCUCGGUUCCUGGGACAAGCUGAUACCCAGUGGAGGGCUGUUUGGUGGCUAAACCUGGAGUGUGUAGGCACAGCUCAGGCCGGCACCCUCUUCUUUGUUGAGCCCACCCCCACGUUUUAUGACUUCAGGGGCAUCAGCUUUGGUGGUGGGCUUAGACAGACCUUAGUUCAAGUCCUAGCUCCCCCUUUGUUAGCUGUGUGAUGCUGAGCAGGGUUUUUGUUUUUCUCUCCGCCUCCCAGAACUUGUCUCUUCAUCUCUAGCACUCAGGGCCCGCCUCUAGACUUGUGAGGGCUUCAUGAGGUGACCAGGUGACCGCAAAGCACUUAGCAUGGGGCUGACACAUAGUAGGAGCUCAGUUAACUUUAGUUAUUGUUCCAUAACCUAGGUCAAGGGAGGCUGGUUUUCUCACACAUCCUCCUUUGCCGCUGAAGAAACUGAGGCCUAGAGAAAGGCAGGAGAUGAAAUUGCUAUGUUCUUUCCUCCAUCAGCUAUACCCUAAGUCAGAGAGAAGGAUCUACUGGAGUUAGAGUGUUGGGCCCAAAGCCCCUACUACAUCGGACCUUGGGUCUCUGGCUUCGUCUGCACAUCCGAGCUGUGGUUAAUUUGUCUAAUAGACCUUUACCUGGUGCCCAGUGAGUGUCAGCACAGGUACAUGCCCUUUGCACAGAAGAACUUCACAUGUGAUCAAUAGCAUUCAGGACGUAUUCAUCUUAAUUCUUCUGACAAGCUCACAGAGGAGAUGCAGUCAUUAUUCCAUCUUACAGAUGGGGAACUAGAGCAGCUCCAUAGCGUUCCCAAGGUCACACAGUGAGUGAGUGUGUGAGGGCCACUGUGGAUGGGGACCUCACUGAUGAGGUUCCCACCCUUGGAUGUACCCAGACUAAGUUCUGUGAUGGGGUCAUAGCAAUUGUCAAGCACCCAAGCCUUCUAAUGGUAAUGGGGGGUCACAGGAGACAUUAUUGGGUGUGCUUGGCAGCUCGUGACUGGGUAGAGCAGAACAUCACCUUCAUCUUUUUUUUUUUUUUUAAAGGGUCUUGUGUGUCCGAGGCUGCCCUCAAACUUGCUGCAUAGCUGAGGAUGGCCUUGAACUUCUGAUCCUCCUGCCUCCACAUUUCAAGUGCUGGGAUGACAGGCAUGACUCCCUGUCCUGUUUUAUGUGGUGCUGUGGAUCAAACCCAGAGAGCUUCAGUGUAUUAAGAAAACACUCUACUGAGCUACAUUUCCAUCCCUGCUUCGCCCUACAAAUGCCAAUCACGGAGGCCACCUCUCAGGCCAUCACAAGUGUUUCCCUGGAGAGAGGACUGAGGAAACUCGGAACAGAAGAGCUCUUUAUUAUUCAGAAUAACUGCACUAUUUAAUUUACUAUUAAUAACAGCUCUCCAGUCAACCUUCUCUUAAGAUGUGAGAACUGGAGAGAUGUCCCUCUCUUCCCGCGCCUCCUCCCUUCUUUUCACGGACUGCUGUGGACUCAGUCACGAGAGCAUGAGCUGUUUGGGGGGUUGGUGUGGGCGGGAUGGAGGCCCAGCUGAUACAUCCAGCCCAGCUACCACCCUCCUGUAGGGCCUGCUCUGGUGCCUUUCCCUGGCUUCUUUGGAGGCCGCUGCCUUGCUGUUGUCGGAUCUGUAGCUGAGGGGAACAUGUCUGUCUUGUAGGCUGAGCAGGAAGGUCACGGUCUGAUCUGGAAGUGAUACUGCAGCUGAAGAUGAGGGAAAGCUGUUGUCGGCCAUCCUUGCCCUCCUGGACCUGAAAGCUGAUGUGUGCUCGGGGGCCACAGGCAGACAGAGGAUUAAAGGGACCGGGGUUCUCUAAGCAUGCCAUUCUAGAUGCCUGGUUCAGUGAGACACAGCUUCAGCCUGAACCCCAGCCUGGCCGUGUAGAAACAACUAUUACAUGCGGAACACAUAGGAGUCAUGUUAAAUGCCAAACACACAAGGCCGAUGCCACCCUGCCAACCUGUUAUUUUCCCCGCUGUGCAGAUGGGAGAAGUGGAGGUUUAUGUUUUACUGGCUCCACAAAAUGACUUAGAAAUAUUUCCCCCCUUUCCUAGCAUAAAUUUCUUUCUUCCUUUUC